AUGCGAUUUCGGUCAAAUCUUGUGGCAUUUUAGUGGCGGACGGGUGAGUAACGCGUGGGUAACCUGCCUCACACUGGGGGAUAACACUUAGAAAUAGGUGCUAAUACCGCAUAAGCGCACGGGACUGCAUGGUCUUGUGUGAAAAACUCCGGUGGUGUGAGAUGGACCCGCGUCUGAUUAGCUGGUUGGCGGGGUAACGGCCCACCAAGGCGACGAUCAGUAGCCGGCCUGAGAGGGUGGACGGCCACAUUGGGACUGAGACACGGCCCAAACUCCUACGGGAGGCAGCAGUGGGGGAUAUUGGACAAUGGGGGGAACCCUGAUCCAGCGACGCCGCGUGAGUGAAGAAGUAUUUCGGUAUGUAAAGCUCUGUCAGCAGGGAAGAAAUCAUGACGGUACCUGACCAAGAAGCCCCGGCUAACUACGUGCCAGCAGCCGCGGUAAUACGUAGGGGGCAAGCGUUAUCCGGAAUUACUGGGUGUAAAGGGAGCGUAGACGGUUAAGUAAGUCUGGAGUGAAAGGCUGGGGCCCAACCCCGGGACUGCUCUGGAAACUAUUUAACUUGAGUGCAGGAGAGGUAAGCGGAAUUCCUAGUGUAGCGGUGAAAUGCGUAGAUAUUAGGAGGAACACCAGUGGCGAAGGCGGCUUACUGGACUGUAACUGACGUUGAGGCUCGAAAGCGUGGGGAGCAAACAGGAUUAGAUACCCUGGUAGUCCACGCCGUAAACGAUGAUUACUAGGUGUCGGUGGGUAUGGACCCAUCGGUGCCG
rnacentral:rRNA from 1 species